CCAAAAAAUGAUCAUGAUUACUAAUAUUGAUAAACAAAGCUGCAACAACAUCUCAAUCAUUCAUUAAUGGUGACUAUUCUAAUUGGGUAUCGUUGUCUUGGGCGACAAAAGCAUCAUCAGCUGUAUCUUGAACAUAUGGAUCUCCGCUCGUCAAAUUCACUAAUGAAUUGGAAGAUGGACCAGUAAAUAAUGAAGCAUUAGAGUCCGAACCAUUUUCAACAGCAAUUUCAUUAAUCCAACCACGACGUCGAACCUUGACGGAUCUGUGUUUUCCUAGAGUUUUAAGAUACGAUAUUGAGUCAUCAAACGUGGCUCUUGGAUAUAACUCAUGAGUCCAUAUAUGAUACAUUCCCAAUAGUUGUUUUAAGUCUUUUGCCUCAUGACCCUUUCCUUUUAACUUAACUUUGCGCAUCAUUUUCCUUAAUUUUGGAAUUCCAUUUUCAGAAAUCAAUCUAAAUAGGGAAAACGAGUGGUCAAUAAUUAUUUUCCGAAAACCGACCAAAUUCUUACCUUUCUUCAUCAAAUUUUGCCAACCGUUUGCGAGGUUUUUUUACAGAAUCUGGAUUUUCUUCUAACCCUAAAUCAAAUUCUUUUUCUUCUUCAUUCUUUUUCACCUCUUCCCUUUUGUUUUCCUCGACGAGUUUUUCAACACCUGAAUCAGAAGCAGCUGUAGACAUUUCUUAUGGUGUUUUUUUAAAAUAUAUAUUUGCUUGUAUGUUUCGCAAAAGAGAGUUAGUGAAUGCAAUAAAUAUCGAUUUGCUUGCUGUUUCGCUUCAAAAGUUCUGUUAAUCUAGCAAUUUUUCUAUGUACUAUUGACUUUACUGCUAAUGAAAAGCGAAUAGAACCUUUCAAAUUUAACUGCGCAGCAAGAAAGGUUUAUAAUUUACUAAUGAAAGAAAAUUCCUUAUUUAACGCGGAUUAGAAAUGUGUAGAGGAAGAAUAGUUCAGAAGGCUCAUGUUACACCUGGACUAUAUACUUUUAUAAAAUUUUGUUAAGAAUGCUCAUAAA